GACGAACGCUGGCGGCGUGCUUAACACAUGCAAGUCGAACGGAAAGGCCCUGCUGUGGGUAGGUGCUCGGGGAGCGAACGGGUAAGUAACAAGUAAGUAACCUGCCCUUUAGGGUGGGAUAACGUCAGGAAACGCGGGUUAAGAACGGGAAGCAGCUCCGGCUGCAUGGUGGGGGUAGGAAAGUUUCGGCGGUUGGGGAUGGGCUGGCGGCUUACCAGCUGGUUGGGGGGGGAGUGACUUACCAAGGCUUUGACGGGUAGCCGGCCUGAGAGGGUGACCGGCAACAUUGGGACUGAGAUCCGGCCAAGACUCCUACGGGAGGCAGCAGUGGGGAAUAUUGCACAAUGGGCGGAAGCCUGAUGCAGCAACGCCGCGUGCGGGAUGCCGGCCUUCGGUUUGUAACCCGCUUUAGCCUGUGACGAAGCGUGAGUGACGGUAAUGGGUAAAGAAGCACCGGCUAACUACGUG
rnacentral:rRNA from 1 species